AGGAUAUUUCAGUUUUGAUUAUAUGGCUGUGAAUACUGGGACAGAUUUUUCCUUUAUGAGCACCGGAGCCGUGAGUAUCUCUUUUGUGUAAUUGCCCUAACGUUUUCAUGUCUCCAGCCAUCAUUAUAGUCAUGCACUCCUUGAGUAUGUCUGUAAACAGGGCCAGUGCAAGGAUUAUUGCUGCACUAGGAAAAAAAAAAUUGCCGCCACAUUUGCUCCACAGUGGUCCUGUAGGUUUAACCCCACAAGAUAAAACAUUGCCUUACCUUGAAGGGUUAAACAAAACUCUAGUAGCUGUCACAGUGACAACCACUAGAGACACCUCCA